rnacentral:rRNA from 1 species
UACGGGGGGAGCAAGCGUUGUUCGGAUUUACUGGGCGUAAAGGGCGCGUAGGCGGUCGUGACAAGUCACUUGUGAAAUCUCCGGGCUUAACUCGGAACGGUCAAGUGAUACUGUCGGACUAGAGUACAGAAGGGGCAACUGGAAUUCUCGGUGUAGCGGUGAAAUGCGUAGAUAUCGAGAGGAACACCUGCGGCGAAGGCGGGUUGCUGGGCUGACACUGACGCUGAGGCGCGAAAGCUAGGGGGAGCAAACAGG